GAUGAACGCUAGCUAUAGGCUUAACACAUGCAAGUCGAGGGACCGGCGCACGGGUGAGUAACGCGUAUCCACCCUGCCCAUAACUAAGGGAUAACCCAGCGAAAGUUGGACUAAUACCUUAUGGUUAUGGCUGGGGAUGCGUUUGAUUAGCUUGUUGGCGGGGUAACGGCCCACCAAGGAAACGAACAGUAGGGGUACUGAUAGGAAGGUCCCCCACAUUGGAACUGAGGCACGGUCCAAACGCCGACUGGAGGCAGCAGUGAGUAAGAUUGUGCAAUGGACGCAAGUCUGAACCUGCCAAGUAGCGUGCAGGAUGACGGCCUAUGGGUGGUAAACUGGUUUUAUGUGGGGAUAGGUACCAUAUGAAUAAGGACCGGCUAAGUCCGUGCCAGCAGCCGCGGUAAUUC
rnacentral:rRNA from 1 species